rnacentral:rRNA from 1 species
CAAAGGCUUGGUCCUGACUUUACUAUCAACUUUAGCUAAACUUACACAUGCAAGUAUCCGCACCCCUGUGAGAAUGCCCUACAGUUCCCUGCCCGGGAACAAGGAGCCGGUAUCAGGCACACGAUUGUUAGCCCACGACACCUUGCUUAGCCACACCCCCAAGGGAAAUCAGCAGUGAUAGACAUUAAGCCAUAAGUGAAAACUUGACUUAGUUAAAGCUAAGAGGGCCGGUAAAACUCGUGCCAGCCACCGCGGUUAUACGAGAGGCCCAAGCUGAUAGACCCCGGCGUAAAGAGUGGUUAAGGUGAAUAUAAAACUAAGGCCGAACUCUCUCAUGGCUGUUAUACGCACCCGAGAGUAAGAAGAUCAACUACGAAAGUGGCUUUACAACCCCUGAACCCACGAAAGCUAAGGAACAAACUGGGAUUAGAUACCCCACUAUG